rnacentral:tRNA from 1 species
GCGGCUGUAGUCUAGUGGCCUUUUUGACUUCUGUUUCUCUAAAACGUUUCAAAAAGGUUAAACAAUGGUAGGAUUCGAGGUUGCCAAUCUCGCGACCUGGGUUCAAAACUGGCGUUUUUUAAAACAUGCCAGCAAAGCUGUCAAUCCCAGCAGCCGCA